rnacentral:rRNA from 1 species
AGAAUAAACGCUGGCGGCAUGCUUAACACAUGCAAGUCGUACGAGAAAGUUCUCUUCGGAGAGCGAGUAAAGUGGCGAACGGGUGAGUAACACGUAAGAACCUGCCCUUUGGUUUGGGAUAACAUCGCGAAAGCGUUGCUAAUACCAAAUAAUGUCUAUGGUCCAAAGAGGGCGAAAGCUCUCACCAGAGGAGGGGCUUGCGUCCCAUUAGCUUGUUGGUGAGGUAACGGCUCACCAAGGCUGCGAUGGGUAGCCGGCCUGAGAGGGUGUCCGGCCACACUGGAACUGAGAUACGGUCCAGACUCCUACGGGAGGCAGCAGUGGGGAAUAUUGGUCAAUGGGCGAAAGCCUGAACCAGCAAUGCCGUGUGGGUGAUGAAGCUUUUCGGAGUGUAAGACCCUUUUAUGAGGAAAGAAGGUUAUCCGGUUAAUACCCGGAUUGCUUGACGGUACCUCAUGAAUAAGCCCCGGCUAACUCCGUGCCAGCCGCCGCGGU